AGAAGUGAUAGUAAACAGUCUGGGCUUCACGUUCACAUUUGACCACUGCUAGUGAACUGAAAGCUGUUCCACGUGGUUUUGUUUGUUGUUGAAAAAUGAAUAUAGUGUAUUGGAUGUGGCUGAGGUCGGUUCUUUUUAAAUCAUGUCCAGUUGACAAGUGCCCAAAACUGCUUUACAAAACUUCACCUCGUUUGGAAUUUCAGUGGGAUUUACAUGUUUAGACGUAGGUCCGAUGUUCAGAUAUCGGACGUUUAUCUGAUUUAAAACCUCAUAUGGAAGUGACUCAGAACGGAUGCAAAAAAUCGGAUCUUGUGCAGAUUGUUAUGUUUACGAUCUGUGUCACAUGUGAAAGCGGAAGAAGGUUGGCAAGUAGUUGGUAGGCCACUGUUGGGUUAGAGGAACACGGUCCUGAAUCCACAGUUAUGCCAUGUUCAGAUUUCAAGAUGUCCAGACCUACACUACUGUUAAUGGGUGGAGAGGGUGAUGGUCUUUCUCCAGAGCUGUGUCAGAUGUGUGACGUCCUGCUCACUAUCCCUCCGAGCAGGAACCUGCGCCCUGGAGUAGAAUCUCUCAAUGUGUCUGCAGCCACAGGCAUUCUGCUGCACUCUCGUCCGUCCACACACACAGGAAGAAGAAGAUGAUGAUGGCAACAACGACAAGGCAGCAGCAUUAUUUACUCAGACGUCUCUCAUUAGCUCCCUACAGUGAUUAAUGACUGGAUUACUUCAUCAAUUAACAGUCUGAGAGUCUGGAGAGGCUCAUUGAUCAGAUAAAGAGAGGCUGUAGAUGCAUUCUGGACCAGUUACUGACUAUGACCACCUUGUUUAAGACAAGACCUUCGCUACACAGGGUCACUGGGGGGAAACAUGCUUUUAGAAACAGAGGUGUAAUUAUUUAUUCUCUUCAUGAAGGAAGUUAGUUCAUGUGCUUUAUUACUGUACACAAUUGCUACAUGCGGAUUAAUUAAAAGUAAUGCUAAUUUUAUUGAUGAUAAUUAUAUUACUUAAAACUCAAUAAUAAUUAACAGUAUUUGAAGCAGCAUGGAUUAAACAGUACAACAACACACAUAGAACUGUAGGCUAACAUGGCUGUGUGUUGUGGGAUGCAGUAUUUUCACAGUGUAUUGCUUAAAUGUAGGUCAUCCAGGUACUGUAUUUCAUGUGUAUGGUAAAAAUGUGUCCCACUUUAAAUUAAGUGGCCUCAACUAUUGUGCAAUAGCAUCAAAUAAUAAGUACAAUGUACUUAUUGUAUUCAUAUUGCAUGCAUAAUUGCCGCUAUUGAGGUGGGAUAUGGGUAAGGUUAGGGACAGGUUUAGUGGUAUGGGUAGGUUUAAGGGUGGGUUAAGAUGUAAAUAAAUAAUUACAGAUGUAAUUAUGUUCAGGUAUUUUUAAAAAUAUAAGUACAAUGUAAAAACAUGUACACAAUAGGUGCACUGUACUAAAUUAUUCUUUUAAAUGUGAAUACAUAGUAGUUAAGGCCAUUUAAUAUAAAGUGGGACCUGAAAAGUUUACAUUUUCAGUGUGCACUACAGCCUGUACAUGUAUAUACACUUCAGAAAUAGAGCAAGUUCCAUCCAAUCAGCAGGUGGCACUGCAUAUAUGUAUAUAGCUAGCAUGUGAACAUUUUUUUUCUGUGACAGUCAAGAUGAGGGAUUGACACAUGGAUGCUGGUGCUAGACCAGUAACAUCUAACAGCGUUUACGUGAAGUUCACUGAAUGGAUAUCUCACACCUCCAUUUCCCUUCACGCUUCAAAGCGAGAUGCUGACUGCAGGUUAUGGACCAAGAUGGUUUACAAUUAAACUAAAACGUGCACGAUUGGCAAGCCUGCGGGGGGCAGGACAGGACGAUUAAGCUGCUAAUACUAUAGACAGUUAGAGCUCACUUUAAUUUCACCCAUAGCUGCAGGGGAGAGGGAGAUCUGAGAUGAGAUUGAAUGUAAUGAAGCACUCUAUUGUUUUUACAGGGAAGACUGAUCUGAAGGUCUUUGUGACAGGAACAGCUAUCCUCUGAUGUGUCUCACAAAACUGACAAUUUGUUAAUCCUUCCAAUUGUUAAAUGGACAGAUAUGUGGAUUAUUAUUAUUAUUAUAUAUUUUUUUUCAAUUUGAUUAAAAUUAGAUUGCUACA